CUUGUCAGAAGGCUCCUUGUUGUGUUGCGAAGAUUCCUCUGCCAAGUUAAACUCAGAGACGAUCACUUCAGGUUUCAGGAUGUUUCUGUUGAAGUCACGCGUCUCUGAACCAAUGCCCUUCACUGUCGCAACGCAAAAAUGUUCCACGCCAAUAUGUUGAAAUAUUGGGUUGGCAACUAAGUGGUUGCGGACUUUGCCAAUGCCAUCUAAUGACUAAAUCCACAAACACUUAGUUGCCAACCCAAUAUUACAGAAAACGAAAUAAAUGUCUACCGUUGGCUAUGAAAAAUCGACGGACAAGCGAGAUGCCACGAGAUGCCACGAUUUUUACGGCGAGGAUAAGCAACGAGUGUAGUCGCGAACGGCUACGAAAGAAUGAGACAGAGAGAGAGAAAGAGAGAGAGAGAGAGAAAAAAAAAACGAGACGUGUGAUCCUGUGUUCAAAGGAAACGAUCGAAAAUUGUGAACGCAAAACCAGCUCGUCGAUGAUCUUCGACGGGACACAAGCGAUCAUUACGUUCGAGUAGGAAGAACAUGCUCGUACGAUAUUCUGGACAGAUGGAUCAAGGAUGACAGUGUCUUUUACGCUUGUUGGUCUCGACGAUAAAUUUUCGCCGAUCGACACUCACCGACGCUCUCCGGCGCUGUCAUCGCUUGUAAUAUCCUGAACGAUCUGGAGGGAAUCGCGCUGCCCAUGUAUUUCUUUGGCUCUGGAACCUGUUGCUCGCUUGGUGGAUUAAUGAGAAGUUAAUGUUGCUUCAAUGUAAUGGAGAGCCAAUCAGAGAAAAAUGACUAACAAGUUUACUUACCAAACGUCUUUGAAUUCCUGUUCUGCUUCUUGUUUAUGGCGGAUGGUGGCCGUGACGCUGCAACAUACUAAUAGUACAAUGUUGUACCUUUAUGGUCGAUGGAUUUCACGAAAAAGUGGUAAAAGUAUACGUUUUUUUAAAAAUGAGGUGGACCCACAUGAAACGAUAUAUAUAUAAAAUUGAUAUUUAUCUAUAGAAUUUUGUUAGAAAUUUCCAAGUUUCCAUAACUUUAUAGUAAUACAUUUAAUGUAUAGAAGGAUACAAAAUUUCCUACUGACAUUUCAUUUUAUCUACAAUUUUGUCAAAGUCAUGUUUUAACUAUUUGUACCACUUUCUCUCUCAGCCUGUCGAUCGAUUGAAACGUAAAAAGCUUACUCGUGUUCACAGCAGGAGCGUCACCGGACUCUGUCAUAGUUUGUAGGAAGCGGAAAGCUCGAGAGGGUAUAGCUCCACCACGAUAUCUCGGGUCUUCCUCGUGAUGAAGAGAAGAUUCAUUGUCGACUAUAGAAAGAAGAAGACGUAGCAAUAACAGAAUAAUCAAACGAUAAAAAGAAACUGAUCAUUUUGGUAAAAUACGAUCUUUACUUUGCUC